AUGGCUCCUCAGACUUUUGGGUAAGAUUGAAUGUAGUAUCUGUUCUUUUCAGUUAAAUAUCUGAUAUGUCCUCUAUCCAAGGACAUUAUAUAAAGUGGAUUUUUGAAGCUGGGAAAUGGAAUGGGAGCUUGCUCCAUCCACUCCACACAUCAACCUGGUAUUGCAGUAUUUCCCAGAAUGGUGCACCAGAA